GGAAAAUUGUAGAAAAGGAGCCUCCACCAAGCAGAGCAGACGGAGGGAGGAGGGCUACUUCCUGCUUCCCAGGUGACAGGACCCCACAAUCGUCUGACCCACGGCCAUAGCUUCCUGGACAUUACUGAAGGGCUCAGCUCGGGAUGGGGGAUGAGCACACCGCUGUGCCUACCUCGAGUGUGGAACUGGCAGGACUGUGUGGAAGAGCUGCCUUUCCUGCCUUCCCCAUCUCCUGGUGCCUGGAUGUCCCUGGCACAUCCCACUGUCCAGAGCUUCCCCCGCCCACUUUGCUCCUGGAGCUCCAGCAUCGCCCCUCCCUUUGCUGGUGCCUGAAACCAUCACUGCUGCAGGUCCCAGGUGAGGAAUCAGCCUCCUCACAGCGUGCCCGGCCUGGCUGCUUCCUACUCUUCCGGCACAUGUGCCUGACAGCCCAGGCAGGGAGUGGGGAGGUGGGGGGCAGGGUACCCCCUUAGAAGUGUACCUCACCUUCUCAUCAUGCUGCUUCCCCACCUAGGAGGGAAAGUCUCAAAAAGACCCUUGCUUUGUCAAGGAAGAAGCUAGCCAGUGUCCCGUUGCCCCCACAAGGCUGCCCAUCUAACCCUCUUCUCAUGCAGGAUGGAGGGAGGGCAGUCCCAAAGGCUCACUGGGCCCUGGGCCUUGCAGUGGAUGGAUCUGUGGGACUGGAGCCCUGAGGAACCAGGAGCUGAGAGUGUCCCAGCGUCGGCAGCCCAGGCUCUUCAGGAAACUCUGCAAGCAGCGGCUCACCCCAGCCAGCUGCCAAACUCCAGCCACACGCAGAGACUCUCAGAGUGGACUUUGGCCCCCAGCCCUGCCUGGGCAGUCCCCCAGACCAGAGUCCAACUUGCACAGGCCACACUGGCCAGGCCAUGGCCAGACCAGAGUCCAACUCACACAGGCCACACUGGCCAGGCCAUGUUUCACUGUGCUCUCUGGCGCAGACCACAGCCCAUGGGGUCUGUGGUGCAUUGAGCUGUCACGGGCUUGCAAUUCCACAGAACGGAAGAAACCCUGGAGAGACCAGAGGCACAAAAGGGAAACCCGCUCCCCUCGUCUUUCAUUUCCUUCUCCUUGCAUUUCCAAUCUGGGGAGGGGAGGGGAGCCCAGGAGGAUGUGCAAAGGGGAAGGACAGGGCUAGACCCGGCUUUCCAGUAUCUGCCAUGAAACACCACGUGAGGGCAGGUCAGCAGGUCCCCACUUCGAGGCCGUGCCCCACCAGGGCUUUCUUCUCAUCUAGGGAGAGGGGAGGCGUCUGCAGGUGUGUUGGGUUUUCUUCUGGGCGAAAGACAGCUGUGAGCAAAACAGCACUAGGCAAGCCUGCCGAGGUGAGAGGGGCCAGAAACCAGGGAGGAAGCUCUCCAGAUAACAGAGCUGCGCCUGAUCGCGGCAUCUCCAGGGCCUGUUCCUGCCACACAGGCACUCCAGGCCCACGUGGGAGAAGGACAGCUACUCCAGAGCCAGAAGUUACUCAAAGACAGCUACUCCAGAUGUUCUCCAAUACCCUGAGCUGCUGCCAACCCUUGGAGCACCGACGGCGGAGGCUGCUUUUCCAGGCUGUCAGGGCCCCAAAUUUGGAAGCAUCGCUGAUGGCCAAAUUCCAGCGAGCCUGGAGUCCUGCUGUUGACUUUCUGAUCCAACCAGUGCGUAGGCUGUGGCCUGCUGUGAAACCAGACCUGUCUGGGGUAAAGUCUGACUUUUCUCAGUGUGCUCCGAGGCCCAGCAUCCUCAGAUCAUCAGGAGGGCUUGUCAAAAUGCAGAUUCAAGGCCUGGCGCAGUGGCUCACGCCUGUAAUCCCAGCACUUUGGGAGGCCGAGGCGGGUGGGUCACCUGAGGUCAGGAGUUCGAGACCAGC
ensembl:lncRNA